GGCCGAGUGGCGGAAUGGCAGACGCUCUGGACUUAAAAUCCAGUGGGAGGUAACUCCCGUGCGGGUUCGACUCCCGCCUCGGCUA
rnacentral:tRNA from 1 species